rnacentral:rRNA from 1 species
AGCCUGCGAGUCGAGAGGUUCGGCCCUCGGCGAACUGCUCAGUAACACGUGGAUAAUCUAACCUUAGGUGGAGGAUAACCUCGGGAAACUGAGAAUAAUACUCCAUAGAUCUUUGAGGCUGGAAUGCGCUUAGAUUGAAAGCUCCGGCGCCUAAGGAUGAGUCUGCGGACUAUCAGGUAGUAGUCAGGGUAAUGACCUGACUAGCCUACGACGGAUACGGGUUGUGAGAGCAAUAACCCGGAGAUGAUAUCUGAGACACGAUAUCAGGCCCUACGGGGCGCAGCAGGCGCGAAACCUUCACAAUGUGCGAAAGCGCGAUGAGGGGAUCCCAAGUGCUUGCACGUAAGUGUAAGCUGUUUCUUUGUUUAAAAAGCAGAGAGAGUAAGGGCUGGGUAAGACGGGUGCCAGCCGCCGCGGUAAUACCUGCAGCUCAAGUGGUGGCCGCUAUUAUUGGGCCUAAAACGUCCGUAGCCGGCUGAGUAAAUGCCUGGGUAAAUCGUGUGGCUUAACCAUACGAAUUCCGGGUAGACUGCUCAGCUUGAGACCGGAAGAAGUUAGAGGUACUCCUGGGGUAGGGGUGAAAUCCUGUAAUCCUGGGGGGA